AUGCUCGCUUAGGCAGCACAUACACGGAAACUGGAACAAUACAGAAAAGGUUAGCAUAGCCCCUGCACAAGCAUGACACACAAAUUCAUGAAGCAUUCCAUAUUUUU